GCCUUCUUAGCUCAGUUGGUAGAGCGCGUCACUAGUAUGUAAAUAUGAAUGACGAGGUCGGUCGUUCAAAUCGGCCAGGAGGCA